GUCUUUUUGGGUAUAAUUUAAAGUCUAAUCUGCCCACUGAUAAUAUUAAAGGGCUGCAGUAUAAUGACUGUACAAAGGUAGCAUAAUCAAUAGUUUUUUAAUUGGAAACUUGUAUGAAAGAUUUGAUGAAAUAUAAACUGUCUCUUAUUUAUUUUUAGAAAUUUAUUUUUUAGUAAAAAAGCUAAAAUAAUUUUAAAAGACGAGAAGACCCUAUAGAGUUUUAUAUUUAAUUAUAUUUUAAAAUUAUAUUAAAGGUUUUAUUAAAAUAUAAUUAAAUAUUGUAUUGGGGUGAUAGAAAAAUUAAAUAAACUUUUUUUAAAAAUUAAACAUAAAUAAAUGAUUAAAUGAUCCAUUAAUAAUGAUUAUAAGAAAAAAUUACCUUAGGGAUAACAGCGUAAUAUUUUUUUUUAGCACAAAUAAAAAAAAAAGUUUGCGACCUCGAUGUUGGAUUAAGAUAAAAUUUAGAUGCAAAAGUUUAAAAUUUUGAUCUGUUCGAUCAUUAAAAUCUU
rnacentral:rRNA from 1 species